rnacentral:lncRNA from 1 species
GCAGAACCCCCCCCCCUUCCCAGAUAUGUACUUUUAAGGAGGGUGCUUGUUGCGGGUUCUUCUGGCACCACUCUGUUGGGUGCAGCAUCAUGUGAUCCUUUGGCUAAGGAGGAGUUCAGCUUUAAGGGGGCGUUCCCAAACCUGUCCAUCAAUCUCCCUCAGGCUCUCGAACUGAAGAAAUACCCCCGGCUCCCUACUCCCUUCUCCAGUCCUCACCAUCUUCUUUUCUUGGAGAGAGCUGGACAGAUCUUCUUCAGAAGGAGCUGCGUGUGUCUGACUCCCGGGCUUGGGGGUUCCCGACGCUGCUCUUGGUCCCGGCUGGGACCUGAGCUGUCCAGCCUGAAGGUUUGUCAAAGUUGUUCAAAGCCUCUUCUGAUCUCCGGGGAUGGUGGGGAAAGGGGUCUUGGUGAGGGGUGGGAGGACUUAGGGCAACACUGCCCAGCGCAAUUAAAGCGGGGCUCUUGGUUUGCACUUCAAUUUCUCCUUUGGUUCUCUAAGACCAGAGGGCAGCCUCUUUGACCUCUUCUGGGGAAAUUGAGUCUGUGGUCCUUCCCUUUCUAAGCAAUUUAGCAGAUGUUUGAAUUGGGGGUGCGUGGAGGGGCUUCUGCUUUGGGAGCAAGUCUGGUCACCUGACAUAACCGUAGUUGACAUAGAGUUUGGCUGAGAAGUGUGUUGGUGUUUCUACAGAUUUUCCUGAAGGCUGGGGGAGGGAGGGGGUCAGUACUUCUGUCUAGCCUCAUUCAUCUCCACCCCACCCCACGGGGGGGGGGGGGGGGAGGGGGACUGUGUCCUCCUGAAUGGGCCAGGUUAGCACUGGCAUGAGGGAUGGGAUAAAAGUGGGAGUGACGUAAUAGGAAUAUUAAGCCUAAUGGUUUUCCUUUUCUGAUGGGCUGGUGGGCCUGGGUGUUCUCAUGAUUUAUUUUGGCCAUAUAGAGAGAACUUAAUUCUCUUUCUUGCUAGAUCUGACAUCCCUCCUGAUUAUAUCCUUGACACUGACUGGUAUUAUCCCAAUCAUCACAGCAACCUGAACUCUCCAGAGAUAACCAGAACUCUCAGGUGAGUUGUUACCUUUUUCUACCUUUUGAUGGGGGAGUGAAUUAUUUGUGUUCAAUGUAUUUGCUUUUUUUGAGGAUGAGGUGAUGGUGAGGAAAGAGAAUAAGGUGAGGAGUUGGAAGAUUGGUACUGUAAGAAAUGUUUCCCUUCUUUUUACGGCUUGGAAAUGAAUCAACAAACUUGCAGGGUCUAGGGAUACAAUUUAAAUUGGGGAGGGGGUCACAUAGACAAAUGCCCUGGAAUUUAUAGAGUUCAAGGUUCCAGAUAAAGAACUAUAAUUUGUUAGACAAAGUUCAUGUGUUUUUUGUUUUGUUUUUUGUUUUGUUUAGUCUAAAUUUGUUUAGUCUUAAAUUUCAGCUCCAAAAGAUUGAGGCUGUUUUCUGGUUUUUAUCUGUUUCUGGUUGCUACAGUAAAUACUUGUCUUUUUUGGUUGUUCAUGACCAACUGUCAGCUGAGAUAGUUCUCCCUCCUACAGUAAAGUAAUAGAUUACAUAACUAAGAAAAUAGCCCCAAUUUUGCAUAUUAAUUUAUUUUUUUUGUAUUGCUGUUGUUGUCUUUUCCUUUCCUAAAUAAGUGAAUGAUGAACUGUCCAGCUUGAGUGUUCAUUAAAAAUGGCCCCUGUAAAAUUCUGGAUGACGAUUAUAUGUAAUUCUUUUAAAUUUGUCAGGGAUUAAUUACACCAUGAAUUUUAAUUGAUUUAAAGUAAUGGAUUCUCAUAUAGUUUCCCUCCCACUCCCUCUUUUCCCCACCCAUUCCCUAUUUCUCUUGUUGUUUCUUUUUCCUUAAAAGUGUGUGUUGUUUCCUUUCAGAAAGGUGAAAUAUGUCCCCUCCCCUCCCACUCUUUCUGCUUUUCGUGCUCAUUCUCUUGGAAAUUAUCCUGGGUUGAAGAUCCACUUUUAACCCAAUAUCAGUGCUGGUUCAACAAAAUGGGCAAAUGCUAAAAGGUACAGUAUAGCAAAAAUAUUCUCAUUGACAUACACUUCCAUUCAAUACAAAAACAAUUAUUCAUCACAGAACAUGCCACAUAAACUUCCCAUUUUACUGACAACAGUCUUAAUAGAAGAGUAAUACACUUUAUUUCUUCCACUUUUGCCAUUUUCCCCUAAAGACUUAGGAGGAGAAAGGGACCUUAGAGGUUCAGCCUCUUCACAUUAUAGAUGAGAAAACAAAGGGCCACAGACAUUAGUGCUUUGCCCAGAUUUCACAUGAUCUAAGUGGCAGAAAUGGGACUUGAAUCCAGAGCCCAGAAUCUACUGUACCCAUACCUAAUAAAACCUAACAAACAAAAAGACA